GGGUGGCAUGCCGUUUCGGGCGUUCCAGGAUUUGCGCAGGUCGGGCCGCCUCG
rnacentral:ncRNA from 1 species